GGACUUUAAUCAUACAGACCCCCUGCAGAGCGGGGGUUAUUGAUGCCUCUCACAAAGUAGCUUUGACCAAUUUUAGCGCAAUUAAGCAGUGGGGAGGACUUCCCUGCGCAUUUUACAUCCAUUAACAGCGCACUUCCAACUGUACCGAGUUAGUUUUAUUACUGUAAAUAUGAUCAGAAAAACUGAUAAUAACAGAGUAAGAUGAGGCGAAAGAAAAGAAACGAAAGUCUAAAAUUGAAUCCAUAAAACAUGAAAUGAAUUAAAGCGCGGAGAAAAUUUAAUUGUCUAAAAGAAGAAGAAGGAGAAGAAGAAGAAACAACAACAUCCGUCCACACUUCGAAUAGAAAUUGAUUAGGUAUGACUGUUGGUCACACAGCAUUACAGCAAUUUAAGGCCUGUCAGCAGCUCCUCUCCCUCACAAUGGCCUCGGCUGAGAAGCAACAGGCGUUUUCUUUCUCCAGGUCAUACUAUUUAAUAAGCCAGACAAAGUUGCGUUUUGCGAGGCGCCAGGCUCGGCGGGAUAAAAAAAAAAAAAAACGGAAGAUACCUCGGGGAGAAAAAAGAAAGAAAGAAAAAGGCAACUAGGUAACUCCACUUAACCAAUUGUCCUCAAAAUAUUUCAUAGUCCGCCGCGUGGAGCAGGGAGGAAAAGAAGAAGAAGAAGGCAAGGCUGAUGCGGUUCAUGUUGGAGCGCUUCAUGAGUUUUUAUUUUUUUUAACUAAAGCAGGAGGCGAAACAGCAGGAAGGUGUUUUCACAUCCAAACUGACGUCUCAUUAAGCGUGUCAGCAGCAGCAGCGCGCUGCGGCCACCAAACCAACACGAGAUUCCACGGAGCAAUAGCAGCCGUCAACACCGCUAAACACACUUCCCGAGCGAACCGGCGUGCGAAGGGAAAAUAUUGGCCCUUUUGACGUCUCGACGCUCCCUCGCCACUUUAAUAGCUUCAUUUGUCCACUUUAUGGUCGCGCUUCUCGAAUUGAAGAAACGUUGAACAGACAACAUCAGACUCACGACGUGAGACGGCCAUUUUCUCCCCCCACCACAAGACAAAGAACAAGCGAUCCUUUGACUGACAGAAUUUAUGCUCAGGGGUCACGGAUGGCCGACCUCUCGAAAGCCCUCAGGUGCAGAAAACAGUUUAGCCUUCGUCAGGCGAAACCAGCCCUCUGUCUCCCCGCUGCUUCUCGUCGCCCAGCUGGUUUGUGUUUAAAUGCCAAGCAAGUGCGUCCCGACACGCAACGAGACCGCAACGAGACCGUGGGAUGGGAGAUCCAUCCGA